UUAGAUUACGUACAUUAUA
rnacentral:siRNA from 1 species